AGACGAACCGGGCGAACGUUAUUCGGAAUCACUGGGCUUAAAGCGUGCGUAGGCGGCUUGGCAAGUUGGGUGUGAAAGCCCUCGGCUCAACCGAGGAACUGCGCCCAAAACUGCCAGGCUUGAGGGAGAUAGAGGUGAGUGGAACUAAUGGUGGAGCGGUGAAAUGCUUUGAUAUCAUUAGGAACACCGGUGGCGAAAGCGGCUCACUGGGUCUCUUCUGACGCUGAGGCACGAAAGCUAGGGGAGCGAACGGGAUUAGAAACCCCAGUAGUCC
rnacentral:rRNA from 1 species